AGCCUUUGUAUUGCCAUCAGCAGUGAGUCCUGUAUGAAGCUGAGACUGGGGAAGCUGAUCAAGAAUGGACUACAAAGAAGAAAAAGAAUGGUGUAACUGACUGUCUGAUCCAAGCGGGCAGAGUCUUCAGACAACUGUUUCCUUGACCGUUUUUCCAGUCAUGGAAAAGUAGUGAGCAAUACAACCAGCCACUUUUGGAACUUUUCAUGGUGGUGAUAGUUAAGUUGAUCUGUCACAGAAGAAACAAGAAAGCAUCUUAUGGCACCUUGAUGAUGAUGAGCCUUCAAAUUCAUUCUGACUUAUGGCAACCCUUCCCAGGGUUUUCAAGGUUGAGGUAAGGAGCCAUGGACCAUCCAGAUGUUUUGGAUUUCAACUCCCAGAAACCACAGUCUGCUUGCCUUCUGGGCAUGGGCAGCAAAA